ACAACACUGGGUUGGUGUGUGUGCUUCGGCCAUAUUAAAAAAAAAUGUGGUUUUAUCAUGCAGACUUGAAAGAAGGUGAUAAAGUGUUUUGAGGAUGCAUCUCAUUUGAUAGGUUACAAACGGUGGCUGGUGUGAUUAGAAAAGAAAUAAAGAAGCAAGCAAGCAAGCAUGUAAAAGUCCACGUGAAUCGGAAGUUGAAAGGGUUCGUUCUUUCUUACGAUUCUCGAGUCUUUUUGGUGAAGCGAGCUUUACAUUCGAGAUUGUUUUGCAGGUGUGUGAUUCGAGUCAGUGUUGCUCUUGGCCAGCGGAUGAGAUUACUUGUGUUAGGGUGGAAGGCAUUCUGUUUGUUAACAGCUAAAUAACAUUUUGAGUUUAAAUAAAUUAUGUAUUGUUUUUAAUUGAAAAUUUUCCGCUGCGUAUUCUGAGUAAUGUCUUAUUUUUAAAGAGUACACUGUUGUG